GGAGGGUGCAAGCGUUAUCCGGAUUCACUGGGUUUAAAGGGUGCGUAGGUGGGUUGGUAAGUCAGUGGUGAAAUCUCCGAGCUUAACUCGGAAACUGCCGUUGAUACUAUCAAUCUUGAAUCUCGUGGAGGUAAGCGGAAUAUGUCAUGUAGCGGUGAAAUGCUUAGAUAUGACAUAGAACACCGAUAGCGAAGGCAGCUUGCUACACGAGCAUUGACACUGAGGCACGAAAGCGUGGGGAUCAAACAGGAUUAGAUACCCUGGUAGUCCACGCCCUAAACGAUGGAUACUCGACAUACGCGAUACACAGUGUGUGUCUGAGCGAAAGCAUUAAGUAUCCCACCUGGGAAGUACGACCGCAAGGUUGAA
rnacentral:rRNA from 1 species